GGCUUAAUGUUUUUGUAUUGCAUAAAUAUGACAAGUAACUAUCCACUUAGCAGUAAGUUCGUCAUUAUCUUUAUAUUCGUCAUCAAAUGGAUUUAAUAUUAUGGUUGUAUUCAUGGAUCUUUCUGGACAGUGGGUGAUGUGUGUCGGCCGUUAACGUUAGCAUAUCUCCAUGGACAGCUAAGUGUCUAUGAUGUUAAAUUAUUAGGCCUAUGUUGAGUAUAACUAUUUUAUUCGUAAGUAUAAAAUGGAAGUUAACACAUCUCCUCCCAGUCGUUGUUUGGAAUUUUAGCCUUAGUCUCCCGGCCAGUUUCAUAAAUUUUCAUCAGCCAGCGAACAUUUUGUCCGAUGGGCAUGUGUAAUUUCUAGAAGUGCUAGUUCUUCAGAAAAAGGAUACGUGCCUAAGUACACUAAACCAACGUUAGUUCUGCUGCUGUGUUGUUCCGGUUUUUAUUCCAAACUUCCAUUUUCACUCCUAAUGUUCACCCUGACGUGAACAGGAAAUGUGCAUGAUAUCAUUUGACUGUUGUAGGCCCCUAGAGUACUUCUAGGUGUUUUCAUGACCGAUGUCAGUUAACUUUUUGGGAGCCAACGCAUGUGAGGCGAAACGUGGUUUUUUACCUGACUUGGGAGUCAAAUGUUUUGAAUGUCUACUAUACAUUGAUUAAGGCAUUUUCACGCACGAGCAGGAAACAAUGAUACAUUACUAAUACUUAAUUCAAGUCAGUGGCAGGAAAUGAUAAACCAUAACCAGCAACGCAUUAAUUACAGCAAUGCAUUACUUUUUCUGCAACUCAGAGAAUACCUUAAGUUUGGCAGUUUUUUAGCAACUCAGUCAACAUUGCAUGUAAGCUUAACACAAUAAUGCAUAUUUUUUCUUUUUUGUGUCACUCCUCACCACAUAUGGCAGAUUUAGUGUGAAGAGCCACCUGUACAAGAUUCCUGGGACAGCAGAACAUGCACCUCACGCACUACCCUGGCACCCUGGCUGAACAACCCGCAGCACAUCAUCUCCAGCUGAGAGGGGGACUCAUACAUUCAUUUGAAAUCAGCUCUACUGAGCGUAACACAACUCUUGCAAUCAAAUUUGGCAGAGGCUCUGAAGGCCACAUAGCCAGCAAGGUACACUGACACAUUGCCCUCAAUGACGUCCAGCCCCUUCAUGAACUCUGUGUUGUCCAGUCCAGGGAAUGUGGGUUCCUCAUCAGUAGACUGUACGUGAGGCAUGGUCAGUGCGGUGCAUGGAUGGGGAGUUGCCAUCUGCGAUGACUCAGUGCAGCUCUACAAAAUCAUUGCAAAUGAUUACAGACUUACAGUAUACUAAUCAUGUGUGACACUUUUGUUUUUGAAAGGGUGUUUCGUCUACCUCAAACAAAUGGGACAAUUGCAGCAAUAGGUGUAUUUCCUCCGGUUCGCAAUUUGUAUUUCUCCCAAAUGUCAUUAGAUAGUCUAGCACGGCCUGCCUGUAGUCUAAUCGGAAUUGCUGAGGGUCUGGAUUGUCCCUGUGCCCGCCCUUCGCUCUGAUCACCCCAAAGAAGUGUUCCAGGCAGUCCUGGUUGAGGUGCCUCGUAAAUAGAAACUGAAAUCCUUUCUCUGUGAAUGCAAAUGACAAACAGUACAUUGGCCAACAGCAGAAAACAUGCAGUGGUGGACAAAGCUCAUUAGCAUUAGCAAAGCUCAAUUUGAAUAAUUAUGCCUUAUUGCUGCUACCUUUCAAUUCAGCCCAGAUUUCCUUGAUUGCUCUUAGGUUAUGCCUCCAACCAUUUAGGCAAUUCAAGCUGUUGCCACUGGCACAUCUGACAGAUGCCAGCCAGUUAAUACUCUCAUUGAUAAAAUCAAUAUGUGUCUCUCUGAAGGCAUCCUUUUGUGGUGUGCUGCUGGACAAUGUGCUACUGUUAAAGCAGUCAAACAUCUGGUUAAAGUGGGCUACAAAAUCUGCCGUCGUUUUUGCCCCCUCUCUUAGCUUCCCCAUGUCUGCCAUGGUGAGCAGUGCAGCCGCAACAGAAUGACUAAGAACCUGUAAUAAAAAAAUAAAAAAAAUCCCAUUUUCAGGACCAUAGAUAAAGAUUGUAAAUUGAAUGUUAUACGCCUGCAUGACAGUUUUCACUUGUGGCUUACCUGAGUGGCGAGAGGCACACUCAUUGUUGAAAAGGCAGUGAGGGACAGAUGCCGUUGGGUUAACUUGGGUGCCAUUCGGUGUUGUCUUUGUGAAUCAAUUUUAAACAUUUCAGUGAUGUCUCCCCAUUCUGCCAAUUUGUCCCCUAUGUAAAAUCCAUAUUUUCGCAAAUUGUUUCUGAUGUUUUUCAUUAAAUGGGGGGGGUCGAAUAAAAAAUGAAUCUUCUGGCUUUUGACAAAGAAGUACGGUUUUUCUUCUGUUAUACCCAGGUUUCUACAGGCUGCCAGGUUGUUGCUGCCUUGGUCCAUUACCAGCACCAUGGGAGUGAAGCCAGUGUCAAGCACCUUUUCCACCGCCUCCAUGAUUUUGGUUUUUAAGACCCCAUGCUUCAUGGUCCCAGAUGACAAGAAGUACCCUAUGGGUUGUUUCCAUUUCCCAGUUAGACUACGGAUCAUGAAAACCCCUGCAUGGUUGGCUGGUCUUCCCCCUUCGUCAUACCCUUCUACUUCAUCUUUCGAGAUGUUAUAAUUUAGGCUACAUUUCAAUGUAAUUUCAUCAAAUGUGAUGGCAACGUGCCUAUCUCGCUCUUCCAUAUGCUGCACUUGAUGUUUAAGUGCAUACAGCACAGGUUCAUGCCAUCCCGGCCCGAUGUCUACUCUCUGCAAGAUAUUUGAAAGGGUCCUGGCUGUAGGGAGCUUGAAAAUUCUCCUCAUGGUUCGGUAGGCUUUUGGCCCUGUACCCUUAACCUGUAACGCCCAACUUUUCAUGAAGUUGCUCCACCGAAUGGCCCUUGGUUUUUUUUUGGCAUUAUCAAUUUGCUCGUUGACAAAUUGUGCGGCUUGUUUUGGCAAUACUUUGGAAAUUUCCCUCUUUAAUGUUUGUUUGCUGAUAGAUGGUGUCUUUUUCUUUAGCCUUGACAGCUUUGAUUUGUAGCAGCCAAUUUUUCUUUUCAGUUUUUCCACUGUGUUGUCAUUGCUGACACUGGCCAGUACAUCAGUGCCUAAAAAGAAAUGUGACAACUGUAACAACAGACUUAUGCACAGACUACUACCUAUGCAGUGUUCAACACUCAGAAUGUAUCUGUUACCACCAUUUGCCAUUAAAUCACUUACUAUCCAGGA